GAUAAUGCCAGGGCUGCAGCCUUUCAGGUAAUCCGCUAUGAAAAGGCCCAAGGUCCUGUCUUAAUUAUCAAUGAAGGCAAAGAGCCUUCUGAUUUUUGGAGUGCGAUUAGUCAGGAAAGCUUCUUUUCUGGUGGUUGUGGCAAAGAAAAGAACAAGGUGGAAGCCAGUUUAUUAGCUGAAAAUGACUUAAUUACUGAUAAUAUCAGCCAGUGUAUUGGUCAAAAGAAUGAAUAUGAUCUUGAUUUUGAAAUUUUCUGCAAAGC
rnacentral:misc_RNA from 1 species